GCGUCGGUGGUUCAGUGGUAAAAUACUUGCCUGCCACGCGGGUGACCCGGGUUCGAUUCCCGGCUGACGCA
rnacentral:tRNA from 1 species